GCCGGAGUCCACCCGCCAGCCUUCGCUGCAGCCGGGUCCCUGAUCCAGAAGCUAAACCUAAAAAUGUGGGCAGUGGUUGCGGCGGAGCAGUCGCCUUUUAUCUCGCCGACUAGAGAACAAGCUGAUUCUCGUACUCUUAUACAUCGCGUUGUUCUCGAGAAGGGUUCUCCUUAAGAUCCAGCCCUCCGCAGGAAGAGCGGGUUAGAAAACACAUCAGAAAACAGGUUGUCGAUUUCCUGGGCACGCGCUACAGUGGCGAUGGAUAUCUGUUGAUGGGAGAAAAUUUCGGAGCUGAUUCUUUUCCUCUAAUCCGAACCUGUCAGAAAAUUCCAAGUCAACCAAGCUCGCCUAAGUGAGAACAAAGACCAGCUGCCUGCCUGCCUGCCUCCCUGCCGGAAGCGCAGGUAUUCUCAGGCCCUUGUGAGGUUGAACGCUUCCUAAUAUCCAGUUAAUGUAUAAAGAUGACUUUCUAUAAAAAAAAAAA
rnacentral:lncRNA from 1 species